GACGAACGCUGGCGGCGUGCUUAACACAUGCAAGUCGAACGAAGUGGCGAACGGGUGAGUAACGCGUAAUCAACUUGCCCUUCAGAGGGGGACAACAGGUGGAAACGACUGCUAAUACCGCAUACUGAGGGAGGGGAUUGCGUCUGAUUAGCUAGUUGGGGGGGUAACGGCCCACCAAGGCGAGGCUCAGUAGGCGGUCUGGGGGGAGGAACGGGCCAAAUGGGAACUGAGCACCGCCCAAACUUCUAACGGAAGCAGCAGGUGGGAAUCUUCCGCAAUGGAAGGAAGUCCUACGGGGCCACGCCCGGGGGGUGGUGACGGGCUUCGGGUUGUAAAGCUCUGUUAAUCAGGACGCGGUACCGGAAUAGAAAGCCACGGCUAACUACGUGCCAGCAGCCGCGGUAAUAC
rnacentral:rRNA from 1 species